CUCCGUCCCUCUCGGCUCCUCAUGGUCGCCAUGUGGUGAAUAUGAUGCAGACUUUCAAAUCCAUACUGCUUGGUAAUCAUGCUGAAAAGAUGGCAUUGGCUGUGGUGGCACUACAGGAAGCAGACGUGGCACUAUGAGGCCAAGAUGCAUAAAAUAAAGGACACAUGUCGGAACUGACGUCACAUCAUCCGGACAAGACCUGCUGAGUCAACGAAAAGUCUUGAAGCUAUCAAUCAACGAAAAAAUAUCCCUCUCGAAGCUAUUUCUUGCUUCAUCGUUGCGUCAGUCCCUUGCAUCAACGCCUUUCAUUGUGGAACUAAUUUACAUAUGUAAAUCACCGGUUCCUCGAGAUCCUUCAAAGAGUAGAAUUUAUCCGCGAAGCUCCACAAGAAACCCGAGGAACGGAUCUGAGAAACGAGUCCAGCCCGGGUAUCCGGCGCUCGCUCAAGGAGGGAAUGCAUCGCUGCAGGUGAGCUGUACGUCUUGCAGUUGCAAAGUUGCGGCAGUUAAGAAGCACCCAUGGGGAAGCAGGGAACACUUGCGAGCCGGCGAAGGGAAGGAUGCAAGGCGAGGAAGGGAAUUUAUCAAAGAUGAAUGAUGAAUAAAACCAGCGCCUCAGACGGA